rnacentral:snoRNA from 1 species
UACUGUUUGCCAACACUCUGGUGCCAAAUCUUAUCUUAUGAUAUGCUAUAUUUGGUUCCUAUUUUGGUGCAAACUAGAAUCUUAGCUGACUACUCACCAUCACUCUCCUUUUCAAUGAGGGUGAUCUGGUCCAUUUCAUUAGCUCAAAU